rnacentral:rRNA from 1 species
UGGCGGACGGGUGAGUAAUGUCUGGGAAACUGCCUGAUGGAGGGGGAUAACUACUGGAAACGGUAGCUAAUACCGCAUAACGUCGAAAGACCAAAGAGGGGGACCUUCGGGCCUCUUGCCAUCGGAUGUGCCCAGAUGGGAUUAGCUUGUUGGUGGGGUAACGGCUCACCAAGGCGACGAUCCCUAGCUGGUCUGAGAGGAUGACCAGCCACACUGGAACUGAGACACGGUCCAGACUCCUACGGGAGGCAGCAUG